GUCAAAGAGGUGACCUCCCACACCAAGUUCCUGUCCAAGAUCGAGAAGACGACCCCUCAAGCCAAGUUCUUGUCCAAGGUCGAAGAGAUGACCUCUCAAGCCAAGUUCCUUUCCAAGGUUGAAGAGACGACCUCCCAAGCCAAGUUCCUGUCUGAGGUCGAAGAGACGGCCUCCCUGGCCAAGUUCCUGUCUGAGGUUGAAGAGACGGCCUCCCUGGCCAAGUUCCUGUCUGAGGUCGAAGAGAUGACCUCUCAAGCCAAGUUCCUUUCCAAGGUUGAAGAGACGACCUCCCAAGCCAAGUUCCUGUCUGAGCUCGAGGAGAUGACCUCUCAAGCCAAGUUCCUGUCAGAGGUCAAAGAGACGACCUCUCAAGCCAAGUUCCUGUCCGAGGUCAAAGACACGACCUCUCAAGCCAAGUUCAUGUCCGAGCUCGAAAAGAGGGCCUCUCAAGCCAAGUUCCUGUCCGAGGUCGAAAAG
ensembl:lncRNA